AUUAACUCCAUGAUUUUAACCUCCACAAGCAGUAGAUUCGUCAAAUGAAAUCUGGUCACACUGAGUCAAGCAGUAGGUUCGUCAAAGGGACUUUUUGGCGGGAACGCGAGGAGUGAAGUUGUGUAUUAAAUUUGUUUUAUUUUGUCUAUUUAGUGUUUCUUCAGGUUCAAAUGUGCAAUAACGGUGGUUUAUUAACUGUUUAAUAUCUGUGAAAGUGCAUAAAUGUGGGAAAAUUAAACAAAGCCGCUGGAAGUAACUUCUCGGGAUCCUCCAAAAAGUCCACUAAGAAAAUCUCAGUAAAUAACCACCAUUUUACUGAGAUUAUAUUUCAUCCCAUACCAUCUCAUCUCAUUUCAUUUAAGUUCAUCCUAGUUGAUUAACGUCUCAAAUUAAUCAUCUUCAUUUCAUUUCAUAUUAACAUUUUUCAUAACAAUAAGAAUAUAAAUUAAAAUAAGACGGGACUUAAAGGUCUUAGUUACCAGGUCCUAGAAUCCCUUAAAAAAAGAUUCGUGAAAUGAAAUCUGAUCGGACUUUUGGCGGGAGCGCGAGAUGUGAAGUUGAGCGAUUUGUUUUAUUUUGUCUAUUUAGUGUUUCUUCAGGUUUAAAUGUGUAAUAACGGUGGUUUAUUAACUGUUUAAUAUCUGUGAGAGUGCAUAAAUGUGGGAAAAUGGAACAAAGCCGUUGGACGUAAUUUCUCGGGAUCCUCCAAAAAACCUCUUUAUACGACCACCAUUUUACUGAAAUUAUAUUUCAUUCCAUAUCAUCUCAUCUCAUUUCAAUUAAUUUCAUCCCAGUUGAUUAAUGUCUCAAAUUCUUCAUUUCAUUUCACUCCAUAUUAUCAUUUUUCAUAAAAAUCUCCCAUAUCAUAUCAUCUCAUUUCAUGUCAUGCCAUGCCAUGCUAUGCCAUGCCAUGUUUCAUAUUAAAUUAGUCAGCUUCAUUUCAUUUUUUAAUGUCAUAUUUCAUAAAAAAAAUAUAAUACAUUUAAUUUAUAUAAAAGAUUAGGUUGUAUGGUGUGAUGCCUUUGCCUUUCCAUUUGGAAAAAUAAAACUACUACUACUGAAAUCUGAUCGCGCUGCCCGUUGGUUGCUGGUGAAUACAGUCGGAUUUUUAAUUAGACGAAGCCAGCUGACAGUAGCUAAUGUCACUUUGUGAAAUAAUGUUGCUAUAUUUAAAGUAAUAGUGAUGCGUUCAGUUCUCGUUCAAUCACAUGAAUGAACAAUGAGUGUGAAGAGUUAAUCAUUAAUUUCAAACUAUAAAAGAAUAUUAUUUAUAUUUUACAAUAAAAUUGUAUUAAAGUGCUCCAAUAUAUGUUACUAGUAGUAUCAGUUUUUUUAUUUUCAUUACCUACCCAUAAUUGUUAUAUUUUAUACGUCUAUAAUUUCAACUAUAUGAUGUAUUGGAAAUAGGACAGUCUUACAAGCUUCCUCGCAAUAUUUUUCUUAAUGUUUAAAACACUCGGUAUUCAGUACAGGUAGAUACUAUAGGAACAUAAUAUUUCGUCGAAAACUCGUUGGUAUGUACAAAGCACGCCUAAAAUACGAACCCCGUACCCGAUAUCGGCAAUUCGGCACACCAACUAUUCACUAGACAAUCGAGGCAAUUUCAUUAAUUCAGGAGUUUUUUCAUACGUUCACUUUGUCACAACACUAUUUUUAUUUCAUCAAAAACUGACAACACAGUAAACGUCAGUUGACUUCGUCUAAUAAAAAAUCCGGCUAUAGCCAUAGAUUAUACACUUAAUAUAUUUGAGAUAGAUGCGCAACAGGUGAAUGAAGUUAGCCCCUCAAAAAAAAUUUUUUUUCCUGUUUUCUACUUAUUUUCUAUUAAUUCGUUUGUUCAUCAUUUGUUCUUGAUUGUUCAUUGUUAAUAAUUGUUUGUUCCCCAUUUAUUUAUUUUAAAAAAAUUAUUAAAAAUAUAUCUAAAAGUUAGCCCCUCGAUUGCAAUUUUUAAUAUUUUUUCGUCCUUAAUUACUCGUAAAUAUUCAUUUUCGAUUGUUCUUAUAUAAAAUACGUUUGUUCUCUUUCGAAAUUACUCAUUUUUUGUUUAAUUAAUUGUAUUAGUUGAAUAAAUGUAUACAAAAUAUGUGUACUGCGCAUGCCAUAAGUGUAUAAUCUAUGGCGCAUGCGUCAACUAUAAUGCCUAAACUUUCUACGCGGUUUUAAUCGUGAAAAAAAACAAUUAUAAAUCCUGAAGGAUCAAUUAAUUGGUAUACAGUUUAAUUAAAAAAAUUAAAAACAAAAUAAAUAAAAUAAUGUGCAUUCGCGUAAAGUUAGACCAAAUACAUUUUUUCCAUCCUCCUUUAGACCUAUCGCUAUGAAGGUAUAAAAAAGAUAGGUUAAGAGGUCACAUAGGUAAUAUAAACAAAUAAGUAAAUAUGUUCAUUAUUUAUCUUUCAAGAGAUAAUGUAGGUAUACAUUAUAAUAACAUUUUGACACAGUCGAAAUUAUAUUCCUAACAUUAGUAAAAUAACAUUUUAAUAUUUUUUUUAUAGGUUAUGUAUUGAAAUUGUUGGAAAAUUAUUUCAUGUUUUAGCUGGAAAACUACAUGGAGAAUUAUAUGCAAUACAAGAUAAUGAGCUCCAUUAAAUGAAUUCGAAUGAAACCAAACUGUUUACCAUCCAAAUUCGAUUGUCGGGCAGAUAGAAAACGAAAAUUCACUCAUAGUGAACCUCGGCCUGCAUUUGUGAAACGGCAAAGACUCACUAUUAUCAAGGAAAUUAAAGAGACAACUAAAAAUGAGAUGUGUCGUAUUAUUAUACCUUUGCCAUCUUGUAGUCAAGAUGUCCAGCCACUUGAAAAUAGGUGUAGUAAUGACAAAGCUAUCCAAGUAGCUCCAGCACAGGAACACAAAGGCAAGGCAAGUGUGUAUUGCCACAUCACCCCUUAAUAUAUCUGAAGCAAGUAUAAGUAAACAAUCAGAACCAGCAAAAAAAAAAAAAUGUUGUUCCUGAGGACAAAUUUGACAGUGAUGAGUCAAAUGCACCAGCAACAGAAGGAUCAACUGUUGACUAUGAGUUAUCUCUCUAUAUCUCCACUCCAUCAAAGACUUGUGCACUUCAGACUAUAGUUCUCAAGAAGACUAAAAAGUUGAAAAAAUGAAUGUGUUAACAACUUUAUCUAAAGUGAAAAAUAAACAACGUUUAUAUAUUGGUCUUCCACAAGAAUUAUGUUUCAUAAUAGGCUUGAUUGAGAAACAUACAAAUGUUUCUGAACAAAAUAUUAUAUUAUGUCUGAUGAGAAUAACAUUAAAUAGAACAUUCUCUCAAUUGGCUGAUGAUUUCGAUUUAUCUGUAAGUCAAGCAAGCAAUAUAUUUUUCAACAAACUCCCAGAAAUUGCAAAUGUAAUAUCACCCCUUGUUAGACUAUAAAAAAAACAAUACAAUAAAUAUAUAUGCAGGAAGGAUAAUUGAUGUCAACUUGGUGGAAAAUAGAAAGUUUUUAGAUAGUUUGCCACCUACAAAACUCUUUAAUUAAAUAAGUAAUCCUUACUUAUAAAUAGGAAGUUUUGUAAGUAUUUUCACUCUUCAUUCAAAAACUACUGAACAGAUUUUAAUAAGACUUUUAUGCUGGUCUUCUAUGGCUAGCAACUCAUUAUUAUUUUGAUUCUGUUUUCCACAAAUGUGCUAAAUAUGGGCUUAUAUAUAUGAAAAGGAAUAAAUAUUAAUGUUAUGUAACCUUUGUACCUGUAUGUUAAGAAUAAUUUUUAAUAAAACAUAAUUUAAAUUGAAA